GACGAACGCUGGCGGCGUGCUUAACACAUGCAAGUCGAACGGAAAGGCCCUGCUUUUGUGGGGUGCUCGAGUGGCGAACGGGUGAGUAACACGUGAGUAACCUGCCCUUGACUUUGGGAUAACUUCAGGAAACUGGGGCUAAUACCGGAUAGGAGCUCCUGCUGCAUGGUGGGGGUUGGAAAGUUUCGGCGGUUGGGGAUGGACUCGCGGCUUAUCAGCUUGUUGGUGGGGUAGUGGCUUACCAAGGCUUUGACGGGUAGCCGGCCUGAGGGGGUGACCGGCCACAUUGGGACUGAGAUACGGCCCAGACUCCUACGGGAGGCAGCAGUGGGGAAUAUUGCACAAUGGGCGGAAGCCUGAUGCAGCAACGCCGCGUGCGGGAUGACGGCCUUCGGGUUGUAAACCGCUUUCGCCUGUGACGAAGCGUGAGUGACGGUAAUGGGUAAAGAAGCACCGGCUAACUACGUGCCAGCAGCCGCGGUGAUACGUAGGGUGCGAGCGUUGUCCGGAUUUAUUGGGCGUAAAGGGCUCAUAGGUGGUUGAUCGCGUCGGAAGUGUAAUCUUGGGGCUUAACCCUGAGCGUGCUUUCGAUACGGGUUGACUUGAGGAAUGUAGGGAGAAUGGAAUUCCUGGUGGAGCGGUGGAAUGCGCAGAUAUCAGGAGGAACACCAGUGGCGAAGGCGGUUCUCUGGGCCUUUCCUGACGCUGAGGAGCGAAAGCGUGGGGAGCGAACAGGCUUAGGUACCCUGGUAGUCCACGCUGUAAACGGUGGGUACUAGGUGUGGGGUCCAUUCCACGGGUUCCGUGCCGUAGCUAACGCUUUAAGUACCCCGCCUGGGGAGUACGGCCGCAAGGCUAAAACUCAAAGGAAUUGACGGGGCCCCGCACAAGCGGCGGAGCAUGCGUAUUAAUUCGAUGCAACGCGUAGAACCUUACCUGGGUUUGACAUGGAUCGGGAGUGCUCAGAGAUGGGUGUGCCUCUUUUGGGGUCGGUUCACAGGUGGUGCAUGCCUGUCGUCAGCUCGUGUCGUGAGAUGUUGGGUUAAGUCCCGCAACGAGCGCAACCCUUGUUCACUGUUGCCAGCACGUUAUGGUGGGGACUCAGUGGAGACCGCCGGGGUCAACUCGGAGGAAGGUGGGGAUGACGUCAAGUCCUCAUGCCCCUUAUGUCCAGGGCUUCACGCAUGCUACAAUGGCUGGUACAGAGAGUGGCGAGCCUGUGAGGGUGAGCGAAUCUCGGAAAGCCGGUCUCAGUUCGGAUUGGGGUCUGCAACUCGACCUCAUGAAGUCGGAGUCGCUAGUAAUCGCAGAUCAGCAACGCUGCGGUGAAUACAUUCCCGGG
rnacentral:rRNA from 1 species